rnacentral:rRNA from 1 species
CCUACGGGUGGCAGCAGUGGGGAAUAUUGCACAAUGGGGGAAACCCUGAUGCAGCGACGCCGCGUGAGCGAGGAAGUAUUUCGGUAUGUAAAGCUCUAUCAGCAGGGACGAAAAAAGACGGUACCUGACUAAGAAGCCCCGGCUAACUACGUGCCAGCAGCCGCGGGAAUACGUAGGGGGCAAGCGUUAUCCGGAUUUACUGGGUGUAAAGGGAGGGUAGACGGCUAGGCAAGCCAGAAGUGAAAGGGUAGGGCUCAACCCUGUACAUGCUUGUGGAACUGUGGUGCUAGAGUGCAGGAGAGGUAAGUGGAAUGCCUGGUGUAGCGGUGAAAUGCGUAGAGAUUAGGAGGAACACCAGUGGCGAAGGCGGCUUACUGGACUGUAACUGACGUUGAGGCUCGAAAGCGUGGGGAGCAAACAGGAUUAGAUACCCUUGUAGUC